rnacentral:sRNA from 1 species
GAAAGGAUCCGAUGGGGCCAGCCCCCCUGCAAGCCCCAGUAUCAUCCCCCGGCUGAGGGCCAUUCGCCUGACUCCCGUGGACUGUGGUGGCAGCAGCAGUGGCAGCAGCAGUGGAGGAAGUGGGACAUGGAGCCGCGGUGGGCCCCCAAAGAAGGAAGAACUGGUCGGGGGCAAGAAGAAGGGCCGAACGUGGGGGCCCAGCUCCACCCUGCAGAAGGAGCGGGUGGGAGGAGAGGAGAGGCUGAAGGGGCUGGGGGAAGGAAGCAAACAGUGGUCAUCAAGUGCCCCCAACCUGGGCAAGUCCCCCAAACACACACCCAUCGCCCCUGGCUUCGCCAGCCUCAAUGAGAUGGGUAAGAGCCUGGGUUCUUGUAAGGGGGUGAGGGUUCUCAGGCCAAAGGGGUGAGCCUCCUGGGGCUGAGGGAAGAGACUAGGUUUCACUGGGCCAGUGAGUGGAAGGCCUUCCUGGGAAGGGAGAUGGUGGCCCCCUGGGCGUGGGGGGUCAUUUCCAGGGGCAGGGACCACCCUUCUCUGAGGCUUCUCCGGGAGACAGAUUCAAGAGCGAUGCUCGUGGGUCUUGGUCUUGCUGUUGGAGGGGUCAUCGGGGGCUGUCCCUUGGCACAAGUCCCCGUGGGGCCCUGGCCAGCCCUGCAGCGGAGUGAUGGCCCUCUCCGGUUGCAGAGGAGUUCGCGGAGGCAGAGGAUGGAGGCAGCAGCGUGCCCCCUUCCCCCUACUCGACCCCGUCCUACCUCUCAGUACCACUGCCUGCCGAGCCCUCCCCGGGGGCGCGGGCGCCAUGGGAGCCGACGCCGUCCGCGCCCCCCGCUCGGUGGGGACACGGCGCCCGGCGGCGCUGCGACCUGGCGCUGCUAGGCUGCGCCACGCUGCUGGGGGCUGUG